rnacentral:rRNA from 1 species
UACCAGCACCCCGAGUGGUCGGGACGAUUAUUGGGCCUAAAGCAUCCGUAGCCGGUUCUACAAGUCUUCCGUUAAAUCCACCUGCUUAACAGAUGGGCUGCGGAGGAUACUAUAGAGCUAGGAGGCGGGAGAGGCAAGCGGUACUUAGUGGGUAAGGGUAAAAUCCGUUGAUCCAUUGAAGACCACCAGUGGCGAAGGCGGCUUGCCAGAACGCACUCGACGGUGAGGGAUGAAAGCUGGGGGAGCAAACCGG